rnacentral:rRNA from 1 species
ACAGCAGCCGCCGCGGGAAUACAGAGGGUGCGAGCGUUAAUCGGAUUUACUGGGCGUAAAGCGUGCGUAGGCGGCUUCUUAAGUCGGAUGUGAAAUCCCUGAGCUUAACUUAGGAAUUGCAUUCGAUACUGGGAAGCUAGAGUAUGGGAGAGGAUGGUAGAAUUCCAGGUGUAGCGGUGAAAUGCGUAGAGAUCUGGAGGAAUACCGAUGGCGAAGGCAGCCAUCUGGCCUAAUACUGACGCUGAGGUACGAAAGCAUGGGGAGCAAACAGGAUUAGAGACCCCGGUAGUCCCUGUCUCUUAUAC